UGCUAUACAUGCAGUCGAGCGAAUGGAUUAAGAGCUUGCUCUUAUGAAGUUAGCGGCGGACGGGUGAGUAACACGUGGGUAACCUGCCCAUAAGACUGGGAUAACUCCGGGAAACCGGGGCUAAUACCGGAUAACAUUUUGAACCGCAUGGUUCGAAAUUGAAAGGCGGCUUCGGCUGUCACUUAUGGAUGGACCCGCGUCGCAUUAGCUAGUUGGUGAGGUAACGGCUCACCAAGGCAACGAUGCGUAGCCGACCUGAGAGGGUGAUCGGCCACACUGGGACUGAGACACGGCCCAGACUCCUACGGGAGGCAGCAGUAGGGAAUCUUCCGCAAUGGACGAAAGUCUGACGGAGCAACGCCGCGUGAGUGAUGAAGGCUUUCGGGUCGUAAAACUCUGUUGUUAGGGAAGAACAAGUGCUAGUUGAAUAAGCUGGCACCUUGACGGUACCUAACCAGAAAGCCACGGCUAACUACGUGCCAGCAGCCGCGGUAAUACGUAGGUGGCAAGCGUUAUCCGGAAUUAUUGGGCGUAAAGCGCGCGCAGGUGGUUUCUUAAGUCUGAUGUGAAAGCCCACGGCUCAACCGUGGAGGGUCAUUGGAAACUGGGAGACUUGAGUGCAGAAGAGGAAAGUGGAAUUCCAUGUGUAGCGGUGAAAUGCGUAGAGAUAUGGAGGAACACCAGUGGCGAAGGCGACUUUCUGGUCUGUAACUGACACUGAGGCGCGAAAGC
rnacentral:rRNA from 1 species